AGGAUAAUAGUUAACUAUAACAUUUAACUUGCAUUUAGAAAGUAUUGAAAUAUCAAUUUAUCUU
rnacentral:tRNA from 1 species